rnacentral:rRNA from 1 species
AGAGUUUGAUCCUGGCUCAGGACGAACGCUGGCGGCGUGCUUAACACAUGCAAGUCGAGCGGAAAGGCCACUUCGGUGGUACUCGAGCGGCGAACGGGUGAGUAACACGUGAGUAAUCUGCCCCUGGCUUUGGGAUAGCCACCGGAAACGGUGAUUAAUACCGGAUACGACCACUUCUCGCAUGGGAUGGUGGUGGAAAGUUUUUCGGCCAGGGAUGUGCUCGCGGCCUAUCAGCUUGAUGGUGAGGUAAUGGCUCACCAUGGCUUCGACGGGUAGCCGGCCUGAGAGGGUGACCGGUCACACUGGGACUGAAACCCGGCCCAAAUCCUUACGGAAGGCAGCAGUGGGGAAUAUUGGACAAUGGGCGGAAGCCUGAUCCAGCACGCCGCGUGAAGGAGAACGCCUUCGGUUGUAAACCUCUUUCGGUGGGGACAAACGCAAGUGACCGUACCCACUAAAGAAGCACCGGCAACUACUGGCCACAGCCGCGGUAAUACAUAAGGUGCGAGCGUUGUUCCGGAUUAUUGGGCGUAAAAGGCUCGUAAGCGGUUUGUCUCGUCGGAUGAAACACGGGGCUUACACCUGCUUGCUUUCGAUACGGCGACUAAAGUAUGCAGGGGAAACGAAUCCUGUGUACGGUGAAUGCCCGAUUCGUGAGGAACCCGUGCAAGCAGAUCCUUGCCGUAACUGAUCUGAGAGCUAGAUUGGGAAAGCUAACGCAUAUUUUCUGUAAAGUUCCUCACCCUAUAAAACCGUUGGCGCGCUAGGGUGUGGAUAUCCUAUUCCCGCGGGUUUCCCGUCGCCGCAGCUACCGCAUUAACGCCGCCCCCCGCGUGGGAGAGUACGCCCCGCAAGGUUUAAAAACUCAAGAGGGAUUUGAGGGGGGGCCCCGCACAAGCGGGCGAGAGCAUGCGGAUUUAUUUUGGAUGCAACGGAGAAAGACCCUUUCCCGUGGUGUUUAAACAUACACCUUGCCCGUUCCAGGAGAGGGGGUUUUUUUGGGGGGGUGUCCAGGUGGGCCCAGGGCUCCCGUCAGCUUCGUUUCUGGAGAUGUGGGUUUAAUUCCCCCAAAGGACCCCAACCCCUUGUUUUUUAUGUGCCCGCCACUAUAAUGGGGGGGACUUUCUUGAGGAGAUCCCCGGGGUGUCACCUUCGGAAGAAAGGGGGGGGAUGACUUCAGUUCCAUCAUGCCCCUUUUGGUCCAGGGGCUUCACCGCAGGCUCCAAAUGGCCGGUACAAAAGGGCUGCGAUCCCCGUAAGGGGGAGCGAAUCCCAAAAAGCCGGUCUCCAGUUUCGGAUUGGGGUCUGCAACUCGACCCCAUGAAGUCGGAGUCGCUAGUAAUCGCAGAUCAGCAACGCUGCGGUGAAUACGUUCCCGGGCCUUGUACACACCGCCCGUCACGUCACGAAAGUCGGCAACACCCGAAGCCGGUGGCCCAACUCUUGUGGAGGGAGCCGUCGAAGGUGGGGCUGGCGAUUGGGACGAAGUCGUAACAAGGUAACC